AGACAUACCAGAAUUGGUGAAACAUGAUCUUGUUUAUAAGUCCAUAGUUCAUGCGACAUUGAAGCAACUGUCUGUACCGGUUCUGUCUGGUCCAAGCAUUUGAAAGCAUCGAGCAGCAAAGGAACUUUCACACUUCACAGAAACUUUCUGAGCAGUUUGCCGUUCUCCUUUGACACUAAACAAUGUUUCCCCCCUCAUAAUCCUAUAGGCUCUGAUAAAAAAAACAUUUGAGAGAGGACGA